UGGAAUAGCAGAGUGUCAGAGGAGUCAGCAGCAGCAUUAGGGGGCGCUCACACAGUUUAAGACUGGGAGAGCUGAACUAUUCUCCCUAUGAACAAAGUAGCAACGAUGAUGUAGAAGCGUAUGUCACGUUAUACACAACAAGGUGGCGCUGAGGAGGUGGGUUGCAUAGAUGUGAGCAGCAAGCAGUUAGAGCAAACGAAAGCAGCUUUAAGUAAGGUACCCCAUUUGAGUGUAGCCAUUUAGCAGCUAGGGGGAGUUGACCAGCUGAUGCACUGAUGCAGAUCAGCUGUUGCAGCUCAGCUGAUGUUGUUGGCCAAGUCUUGACUACUUGGCCUGCCAGAACUGAC